rnacentral:rRNA from 1 species
UACGUAGGUGGCAAGCGUUGUCCGGAUUUAUUGGGUUUAAAAGGUGCGUAGGCGGUCUUAUAAGUCAGUGGUGAAAUACGGCAGCUCAACUGUCGAGGUGCCAUUGAUACUGUAGGACUUGAGUACAGACGAGGUAGGCGGAAUUGACGGUGUAGCGGUGAAAUGCUUAGAUAUCGUCAAGAACACCGAUAGUGUAGACAGCUUACUAGGCUGAAACUGACGCUGAGGCACGAAAGUGUGGGGAGUCAAACAGGA